CCUACGGGAGGCAGCAGUGAGGAAUAUUGGUCAAUGGACGAGAGUCUGAACCAGCCAAGUAGCGUGAAGGAUGACUGCCCUAUGGGUUGUAAACUUCUUUUAUAUGGGAAUAAAAUGUUCCACGUGUGGGAUUUUGUAUGUACCAUAUGAAUAAGGAUAGGCUAACUCCGUGCCAGCAGCCGCGGUAAUACGGAGGAUCCGAGCGUUAUCCGGAUUUAUUGGGUUUAAAGGGAGCGUAGGUGGAUGGUUAAGUCAGUUGUGAAAGUUUGCGGCUCAACCGUAAAAUUGCAGUUGAAACUGGCAGUCUUGAGUACAGUAGAGGUGGGCGGAAUUCGUGGUGUAGCGGUGAAAUGCUUAGAUAUCACGAAGAACUCCGAUUGCGAAGGCAGUUCACUGGACUGCAACUGACACUGAGGCUCGAAAGUGUGGGUAUCAAACAGGAUUAGAUACCCGUGUAGUC
rnacentral:rRNA from 1 species